rnacentral:rRNA from 1 species
UACGUAGGUCCCGAGCGUUGUCCGGAUUUAUUGGGCGUAAAGCGAGCGCAGGUGGUUUAAUAAGUCUGAUGUAAAAGGCAGUGGCUCAACCAUUGUGUGCAUUUGAAACUGUUAGACUUGAGUGCAGUAGAGGAGAGUGGAAUUCCAUGUGUAGCGGUGAAAUGCGUAGAUAUAUGGAGGAACACCAGUGGCGAAGGCGACUUACUGGUCUGUGAUUGACGCUGAUGCUCGAAAGCGUGGGUAGCGAACAGG